UACGGAGGGGGCUAGCGUUGUUCGGAAUUACUGGGCGUAAAGCGCACGUAGGCGGCUUUGCAAGUUAGAGGUGAAAGCCCGGGGCUCAACUCCGGAAUUGCCUUUAAAACUGCAUCGCUAGAAUUGUGGAGAGGUAAGUGGAAUUCCGAGUGUAGAGGUGAAUUCGAUAGAUAUUCGGAAGAACACCAGUGGCGAAGGCGACUUACUGGACACAUAUUGACGCUGAGGUGCGAAAGCGUGGGGAGCAAACAGG
rnacentral:rRNA from 1 species